CAGACUGCUGCCAGAAGGAGAGUCAUAUAAUUUGAUCCAUCAAAUAGGCCACAGGCAGAUAAACUAUGAGCGUUUAAUUAUGUGUUUGUCGUCCUCAAGAGCUGACGCAGUCCGUUUCCAGCGAACUGUGAGGUCUGGAGAUAGUUGACCCUGAAGAGGUGGAAUACAUUCGUUUCGAUGCUACUGGAACGGUGGGAGGCUCGGUCACUCUGGACUGCGGCUCCAUUCUGCCCACCAUCUUCAUCUGGGGCUUCACCAAACCAGGGAGUGAUAACAACGUGGCCGUGGCCUACAACUACGGACAAGGCCCGAAGCUCCAGGCUCUGUCCAGGAGUCUGGGCAACAUGCAGGUUCCCGUUAACUCGUCCGCUCUGGUGAUAGAGGAGCUUCGGAGGGAGGCAGCCGGGACGUACACCUGCCAGGCUCUGUACAACACCGACGAAGGGGCCAGGAUAACGUUUUACUUCACCAAGCUGGACGUGGACGACGACUGAUGAUGAAAUCUUCAUCUGAAAACUGUGUUCCCCUUAAGAUUCAUGAUCGCAAUGUUUGUAUCUUCACAGCAUCUGCUUUAAAGAGUUGGUUUAUUCAAAUUUCUACCAAAAUAUUUUUUAUUUCUAGUGGCUCUAUUUUGGUCUCAUUUACUCAGGAGUUGAGUUAUCUCACUCCCAAUGCAAACAAUGAAGAUAAAGACAAUUUCAUCAACAAAAAAUUGCAUUUUAAGGGGAGACUGCACCAAUUAUGCACACCAAAACCUCUUCAUUCUACAUUUGAUGUCUUCCCAACCUCUGAAAAUGUCUAAUAUGAAUCUGGAGUUUUGUAAAGUCUGGGAAAACCUUGACUCUGGGUUCAAGAGUACAAAUUUCAACAAAAAGUUAGAGCUUGGAAGCUGUUCAACUGGUGACAGUUUCUCAGAUGGAAGGAUGAGGACUCUGUUUAAUUACAUUAGAAUCUUCACCUAAGAAAACAGCUUUUUUUUUUUUUUAACAUUCAUGGCCAUCUGCUUUGAAGAAUUGGUAUUUCUAGCAGUUUUGGUCUCAUUGACUCUGAAGCUGACUCCCAUCACAAUACAAUGAAUAGACAGAGAAUUUCUCAAACAAAAAACUACAUUUAAAGGAAAACUGCACCAAUUUUGCACAAAAAUCAUUUUAUUCAUCACAGUAAGUCUGAUAUGAAUGUGGAGUUUUUAAAGUUUGAGAAAACCUUGACUUGGGGUUCAAGAUUAGAAAUUUCAACAAAAGUUUUGUGUCUGUGUGGAAUUUGAAAGAAGUGAGUUUUUGCAUUUUUGAAUGUGUUUCAUAUUGAGGACGAAAAAAAAUCGUUUUCUAAGAUGUGUCCCUCACAAGUCCUCUAACCGCGUGAAACUGCAGAAAUACAAUCUUCUAAUUUGGGAGAAACAUCAUUUUGGAAAGUUUUUUUUGCAGCAGAUUGGACAAAAAUGUAACACAACAUGCACAUGGCCUUCUCUGACUUAGAGAAAAAGUUUUUUAAAAAAUGUUAUUGUGAGAAAAUUGUGUAAAUUUUGCCCAUUUUGCACAAAAAAGUCUUGAAAUUGUUCAACUGCUGACAGUUUCUUGGAUGUGAAGUUAAACUGAUGAUGACUGUUUGUUCCAUUUGAAUCUUCACCUGAAAACUGGCCACAUGACCACAGUUUGUGUAUCUUCACAACAUCUGCUUUAAAGAGUUGAUUCAUCCAGAUUAUUCUCUACUAUUUCUACUGGCAUCAGACAGUUUUUAUCUCAUUUACUCAGAAGCUGACUUAUCUCACUCACACAACAAUACAAUGAAGAUAUGGAAAAUUGCUCUAUUAAAAACUACAUUUAAAGGAAAAUUGCACCGAUUUUGCACCAAAAAAAAUCAUUUUAGGCAUCACAAUAAG
ensembl:lncRNA